GUCCACGCCGUAAACGAUGGGUACUAGGCGUCGGGGGGAGCGACCCUCCCGGUGCCGUCGCUAACGCAGUAAGUACCCCGCCUGGGGAGUACGGUCGCAAGACUGAAACUCAAAGGAAUUGACGGGGGCCCGCACAAGCGGUGGAGCAUGUGGUUUAAUUCGAAGCAACGCGAAGAACCUUACCUGGGCUUGACAUGCACGGGAAAUCCGGUGGAAACAUCGGCCCCCUUUCGGAGUCCGUGCACAGGUGCUGCAUGGCUGUCGU
rnacentral:rRNA from 1 species